GACAGAGGGGGCAAGCGUUGCUCGGAAUUACUGGGCGUAAAGGGCGCGUAGGCGGGAUGGCAAGUCGGUCGUGAAAUCCUUCGGCUCAACCGAAGAACGUCGAUCGAUACUGCUGUUCUUGAGGGUUGCAGAGGAGACUGGAAUUCCCGGUGUAGCGGUGAAAUGCGCAGAUAUCAGGAGGAACACCGGUGGCGAAGGCGGGUCUCUGGGCCGGUACUGACGCUGAGACGCGAAAGCGUGGGGAGCGAACAGG
rnacentral:rRNA from 1 species